rnacentral:rRNA from 1 species
AUUGAACGCUGGCGGCAGGCCUAACACAUGCAAGUCGAGCGAGCGGCGGACGGGUGAGUAAUGUCUGGGAAACUGCCUGAUGGAGGGGGAUAACUACUGGAAACGGUAGCUAAUACCGCAUACCAUCAGAUGUGCCCAGGUGGGAUGAGCUAGUCGGUGGGGUAACGGCUCAACUAGGCGACGAUCCCUAGCUGGUCUGAGAGGAGGACCAGCCACACUGGAACUGUGACACGGUCCAGACUCCUACGGUAUGCAGCAGUGGUGAAUAUUGCACAAUGGGCGCAAGCCUGAUGCAGCCAUGCCGCGUGUGUGAAGAAGGCCUUCGGGUUGUAAAGCACUUUCAGCGGGGAGGCGUUACCCGCAGAAGAAGCACCGGCUAACUCCGUGCCAGCAGCCGCGGUAAUAC